UGAGAUAGUUGGACAAUCGCGGGCAGAUACCGAAAGGUACUGCGUGAGGAAAGUCCGGGCUCUUUAGAACCAAGGGUGCCGGGUAACUCCCGGUGAAGGUGACUUUAAGGAAAGUGCAACAGAAAUAUACCGCCAAUUUAUUGGUAAGGGUGGAAAGGUAGUGUAAGAGACUACCGGCUUUUUGGUAACAAGAAGCGUCCAUGUAAACCCCAUCCGGAGCAACAUCGUGGAGGAACAUAUGCUGAGGUUCAAGCGUUCCUAGGAGAUGGCUGGAACCAUUUAGAGAUAUUUGGUCUAGAUAAAUGAUUGUCCUCGACAGAACCCGGCUUAUAGAUUAUCUCAGUAU
rnacentral:RNase_P_RNA from 1 species